GGGUCAGUAGGUUGGUCGUGCCACCGGUACGUACUGGUCUCACUGAUUCCUCCUUCCUGAAGAACCGUAAUGCCAUUAAUUUGGUGUUGCGGGGAAACAGGACUGUUACUUUGAAAAAAUUAGAGUGUUUAAAGCAAGCUAACGCUUGAAUACGUUAGCAUGGAAUAAUGAAAUAGGACGAUCGAUCCUAUUUUGUUGGCUUCUAGGAUUGACGUA
rnacentral:rRNA from 1 species